UGGGACUAUUACGAGAGUUCAAGUAUUAGGUCUAUCAGGAUCUCGUCAGAAAUGAUAUUGGUUUAGUUACCUUUUACUUUUGACCAUGUAAUUAUUUGUAAAUUAAAAGAUUUAUCUCCUAAAACUUGAAAUAUAAUAGUAAUCCGUCAAUUUGCAUGUAUGACUUUAAUCUAAUAUUUGUAAUUCUAAAUAACUAUUUAACCAUACAUAUUUAUUUUUCACUCAAUUAUAUUCUAUGAAAUUCUCAGAAAAAAUAGUUUU